UACAGAGGGUGCGAGCGUUAAUCGGAAUUACUGGGCGUAAGGGGUGUGUAGGUGGUGAUAUAAGUCAGAUGUGAAAUCCCUGGGCUUAACCUGGGAAUGGCAUUUGAAACUGUAUGGCUUGAGUGCAGUAGAGGGAAGUGGAAUUUCCGGUGUAGCGGUGAAAUGCGUAGAUAUCGGAAGGAACACCAGUGGCGAAAGCGGCUUCCUGGACUGUAACUGACACUGAGACACGAAAGCGUGGGGAUCAAACAGG
rnacentral:rRNA from 1 species